UACGAAGGGGGCUAGCGUUGUUCGGAAUUACUGGGCGUAAAGCGCGCGCAGGCGGCUAUCCAAGUCAGUGGUGAAAGCCCGGAGCUUAACUCCGGAACUGCCAUUGAAACUGUUUAGCUUGAGGACGAGAGAGGUGAGUGGAAUUCCCAGUGUAGAGGUGAAAUUCGUAGAUAUUGGGAAGAACACCGGUGGCGAAGGCGGCCUGCUGGGCAGUAGCUGACGCUGAGGCGCGACAGCGUGGGGAGCAAACAGG
rnacentral:rRNA from 1 species